CCACAGCUACAACCGCACAGAACAAGUUCAUAAGUAUCGCAAGAUCACUUGGGAUGGCGAGUCUAAGUCUAAAA
rfam:Enterococcus sulfureus ATCC 49903 acyDF-supercont2.1, whole genome shotgun sequence.